GAUGAACGCUGGCUACAGGCUUAACACAUGCAAGUCGUGGGGAAACGGCAUUAUGUGCUUGCACAUUCUGGACGUCGACCGGCGCACGGGUGAGUAUCGCGUAUCCAACCUGCCCCUUACUUGGGGAUACCCCGUUGAAAGACGGCCUAAUACCCGAUGUGUUUCAUUGACGGCAUCCGAUAUGAAGCAAAGGUUUUCCGGUAAGGGAUGGGGAUGCGUCUGAUUAGCUAGUUGGCGGGGCAACGGCCCACCAAGGCGACGAUCAGUAGGGGUUCUGAGAGGAAGGUCCCCCACAUUGGAACUGAGACACGGUCCAAACUCCUACGGGAGGCAGCAGUGAGGAAUAUUGGUCAAUGGACGCAAGUCUGAACCAGCCAAGUAGCGUGCAGGAUGACGGCCCUAUGGGUUGUAAACUGCUUUUAUGUGGGAAUAAAUUGGCGCACGUGUGCGCCAUUGCAUGUACCUCAUGAAUAAGGACCGGCUAAUUCCGUGCCAGCAGCCGCGGUAAUACGGAAGGUCCGGGCGUUAUCCGGAUUUAUUGGGUUUAAAGGGAGUGUAGGCGGUCUGUUAAGCGUGUUGUGAAAUUUAGGUGCUCAACAUUUAACUUGCAGCGCGAACUGUCAGACUUGAGUACACGCAGCGCAGGCGGAAUUCAUGGUGUAGCGGUGAAAUGCUUAGAUAUCAUGAGGAACUCCGAUCGCGAAGGCAGCCUGCGGGAGUGUUACUGACGCUUAAGCUCGAAGGUGCGGGUAUCGAACAGG
rnacentral:rRNA from 1 species